UGGGGAAUAUUGCACAAUGGGCGAAAGCCUGAUGCAGCAACGCCGCGUGAGUGAUGAAGAUCUUCGGAUUGUAAAGCUCUGUCUUCUGGGACGAUAAUGACGGUACCAGAGGAGGAAGCCACGGCUAACUACGUGCCAGCAGCCGCGGUAAUACGUAGGUGGCAGGCGUUGUCCGGAUUUACUGGGCGUAAAGAAUGCGUAGGCGGAUAUUUAAGUGAGAUGUGAAAACCCCGGGCUUAACUUGGGGACUGCAUUUCAAACUGGAUAUCUAGAGUGCGGGAGAGGUAAGUGGAAUUCCCAGUGUAGCGGUGAAAUGCGUAGAGAUUAGGAAGAACACCAGUGGCGAAGGCGACUUACUGGACCGUAACUGACGCUGAGGCAUGAAAGCGUGGGGAGCAAACAGG
rnacentral:rRNA from 1 species